rnacentral:rRNA from 1 species
UACGAAGGGGGCUAGCGUUGCUCGGAAUCACUGGGCGUAAAGGGUGCGUAGGCGGGUCUUUAAGUCAGGGGUGAAAUCCUGGAGCUCAACUCCAGAACUGCCUUUGAUACUGAAGAUCUUGAGUUCGGGAGAGGUGAGUGGAACUGCGAGUGUAGAGGUGAAAUUCGUAGAUAUUGGGAAGAACACCGGUGGCGAAGGCGGCGCUCUGGACCGAGACUGACGCUGAGGCGCGAAAGCGUGGGGAGCAAACAGG